rnacentral:tRNA from 4 species
UGCGGGAUGGUGUAGCGGUAGCACACAUGACUCUGGAUCAUGUUGCCUAGGUUCGAAUCCUAGUCCCGCAGCCA